CUUUCUCUCUCACGCUUUCUUUCUCACCCCGACGCCCUCUCCCCAUUCAGUCCUGAACCCUAGAAAAAUUCAUCCUCUCACUCGACGCAGUACUCUCCGUCUGGAUUUGCUGGAAGAUCUAACUCGAAGCCAUUCUCUCCCUCCUCUCACUCAACGCAGUACUCUCCGUCUGGACACAGGUAAUUGUGGAGUUUAGAUGGGAUAGCAAACCAGAUCCUGUUGAAAUCAGGAUUGUGGGGUUGGAUCUUUAAAUUUCGG